UCUAUGACUUUGUUGAGGGUAAACAAAACAACUACAAUAAUUGUUUGAAUAAAUUUCGUGUGGAAAUAUUUUGAUGUGACCAUAUCAUUGACCAUAGAUAUGUUCCCACAAACCAAAGAUGGGUUGAAAUUAAAAUGGACCCAAAAAAACGAAAACCAUUUCAAACGGAACAAAGAGUGUGACACCGAUACAUGGACUAGUCCACAUUUCACUCAUUAUUUUGUGAGGGUUGAAUUGAACAACUCAUUUUGUAGUGCAACCCAUUUUCAUUGGUAGCCAGCCCUCC
rnacentral:lncRNA from 1 species